CCCAACUAUCCCUAUUAAUCAUUACGGUGGUCCUAGAAACCAACAAAAUAGAACCCUUAGCCGUCCUAUUUUAUUAUUCCAUGCUAAUGUAUUCAGACGAUAAAGCCUGCUUUAAACACUCUAAUUUUUUCAAGGUAAUGGUCCUGGUUCCGCCAGACACCAAAUAAAUGACAUCUGACCUCGCCAGAAGGUAAGAGACCCGCGGAGCCAGUGAUGGACAGUUAAGCCCAACCGACCCGCGGCUCCCGAAAUUCAACUACGAGCUUUUUAACUGCAACAACUUUAAUAUACGCUAUUGGAGCUGGAAUUACCGCGGCUGCUGGCACCAGACUUGCCCUCCAA
rnacentral:misc_RNA from 2 species